ncrna:Porphyromonas gulae DSM 15663 S4-Bacteroidia ribosomal protein leader
GAUUGCCUAUAAACUAUCAAUCUCUCACAUAGCAAUCGCGGCUG